rnacentral:rRNA from 1 species
AGAGUUUGAUCCUGGCUCAGGAUGAACGCUAGCGGCAGGCUUAACACAUGCAAGUCGAGGGGUAGAAGUUUUCGGACUUUGAGACCGGCGCACGGGUGCGUAACGCGUAUGCAAUCUACCUUUUACAGAGGGAUAGCCCAGAGAAAUUUGGAUUAAUACCUCAUAGCAUUGCAGAAUGGCGUCAUUCAGCAAUUAAAGUCACAACGGUAAAAGAUGAGCAUGCGUCCCAUUAGCUUGUUGGUAAGGUAACGGCUUACCAAGGCUACGAUGGGUAGGGGUCCUGAGAGGGAGAUCCCCCACACUGGUACUGAGACACGGACCAGACUCCUACGGGAGGCAGCAGUGAGGAAUAUUGGACAAUGGGCGCAAGCCUGAUCCAGCCAUGCCGCGUGCAGGAUGACGGUCCUAUGGAUUGUAAACUGCUUUUGCACAGGAAGAAACAACUCUACGUGUAGAGUCUUGACGGUACUGUGAGAAUAAGGAUCGGCUAACUCCGUGCCAGCAGCCGCGGUAAUACGGAGGAUCCAAGCGUUAUCCGGAAUCAUUGGGUUUAAAGGGUCCGUAGGCGGUUUAGUAAGUCAGUGGUGAAAGCCCAUCGCUCAACGGUGGAACGGCCAUUGAUACUGCUAGACUUGAAUUAUAAGGAAGUAACUAGAAUAUGUAGUGUAGCGGUGAAAUGCUUAGAGAUUACAUGGAAUACCAAUUGCGAAGGCAGGUUACUACUUAUGGAUUGACGCUGAUGGACGAAAGCGUGGGUAGCGAACAGGAUUAGAUACCCUGGUAGUCCACGCCGUAAACGAUGGAUACUAGCUGUUGGAAGCAAUUUCAGUGGCUAAGCGAAAGUGAUAAGUAUCCCACCUGGGGAGUACGUUCGCAAGAAUGAAACUCAAAGGAAUUGACGGGGGCCCGCACAAGCGGUGGAGCAUGUGGUUUAAUUCGAUGAUACGCGAGGAACCUUACCAAGGCUUAAAUGUAGAUUGACCGGUUUGGAAACAGACUUUUCGCAAGACAAUUUACAAGGUGCUGCAUGGUUGUCGUCAGCUCGUGCCGUGAGGUGUCAGGUUAAGUCCUAUAACGAGCGCAACCCCUGUUGUUAGUUGCCAGCGAGUCAUGUCGGGAACUCUAACAAGACUGCCAGUGUAAACUGUGAGGAAGGUGGGGAUGACGUCAAAUCAUCACGGCCCUUACGCCUUGGGCUACACACGUGCUACAAUGGCCGGUACAGAGAGCAGCCACUGGGCGACCAGGAGCGAAUCUACAAAACCGGUCACAGUUCGGAUCGGAGUCUGCAACUCGACUCCGUGAAGCUGGAAUCGCUAGUAAUCGGAUAUCAGCCAUGAUCCGGUGAAUACGUUCCCGGGCCUUGUACACACCGCCCGUCAAGCCAUGGAAGCUGGGGGUGCCUGAAGUCGGUGACCGCAAGGAGCUGCCUAGGGUAAAACUGGUAACUAGGGCUAAGUCGUAACAAGGUA